GUGCUUGCUUCGGCAGCACAUAUACUAAAAUUGGAACGAUACAGAGAAGAUUAGCAUGGCCCCUGUGCAAGGAUGACAUUUUAAAUGACUAAGAACCCCUUCAG
ensembl:snRNA U6 U6 spliceosomal RNA